AUUGGAAUGAUUUUGCAGUCAAUCAUAAUAUUGGGAGGGGUCAUACUUUUCUAAUUUACUGUGCAAGCCAACUCAUUCAUGCCCCACCCCACCCUCUAUUAUUUGUGUGUGUCUAUAUAGGAUUUAGUUCAUGUAGAAACAGGACUUUGUUCAUAAAAUGAACCUUUUACUUCUAUUUCACUUUUUCUAGAAAGAAGUUCUAGAACGAAAGAGGAAACCAGGAACUGAACAGAAAUGCACCAAAAUUAAAAUGCCAUGUGCCUACAUUAAAAAUAGCUGCUCGAAUAGUAAUAACUCAAGACAGCUAAAAGUCCAUGGCAACAGUUUUUUGGAAAAAUGGCAAAUUAAGAUCUUGGUUUCUCCUUCUUCUCCUUGAAGAGAGCCAGGAGAGGUAUAUCAGAAAGCCUCACCACCUUGAACCUGACACCAGGAAUAUCACCUACACUAAUUUCAAGUAUACAUUCAUGGUCCUUUGUUUGCUAUCAUGCACAAUGAAGGAGUUUUCAAGAACUUGACUUGAGCAACAUUCCUUCUGUCAGCAAGAGAAACCAUGUUCCCCUACAUAUCUAUGUGAUUUUCAUUCUUCUUUUUAAUGUAAAGUUACCCCACUGCAGGUAAGUUCUUAAAUGUUUCCCUUCAUUUUUCCUCUUUUUUGUUGAUUUAAAAACUUCCGUAUAGCAAUUAUAUUUUUCGAUCAAUGUCUGCUGAAGAAAAUUCAAAAUGUGUUCUUAUGACCCUUUAUAAAUUCGUUUCAUUUGUUGCCAUGUAUAGCAACUGAUCUAAAGUUUGCAUUAUCAAACGCUUGGCGCUUUUAAAAAAGCAUGUAGUCUACUCCAUAAUGAUUCCGUAAAAUCUGAUGCAAAGCUUCCUAUACUUGAAGAUUUCUCUAUUUGCUGUCCAAUAUUGUUUAGGCAGCCUAAAAUGUUACACAUAAUUGCAAUGUUGGUGAGGUCUAAGAAAUGUACUACCAUAUUCUUUAGUCCUAUCUGAAUGUGAACUUGAUUACUUUAUUGGAGUUGAUAAAAUUAGGGAGUGUUCAUAAAGAAAUUCGGUCUAUAUACCACGUCCAAAUUGUUAACGUUACUAUUAUUAGAACAUUUUUACUACUUAUUCUUUAUGUUGUUACUGCUUAUUCUUUAUUGUUACUAGAUUAUUUACUGCAUAGGCUGUUAUUUUAGUUUUCACUAUUUUGGAGUCCAUCGUAAUCUUUUCCUUGAUUUCUGGUGUAGUUCCACCGUAGGAGGAGGCUUUGUUAGUUUGUAUUGUGUAUAUAUUUUGGUUCUUCAUCAAUUAAUAAAAGUAUCUUUUUGCUUCAUCUUUCUCAGUUAUUAUAACUACUGAUUUAUAAAGUUUUUUGUUGCAGAUGUUGUAGAAAAUCAGUAGUAAUGCAACCGUGGAAUGUGGAAAUAGAGAAUUUCAGAAGGUGUCUUGAUAUCCUUGUGUGAAUGUAUGUCGAGUAGAUGCCUGUGUUGUUAGCAUAACACUCAUUGUUGUUCUUUUAAUUUGUUUUCCUUUUCAGGUAAAAGAUUGAUUGUCAAUGCUUUUAAUUACUAUAAUGUUGUGGGUGACUAAGAAACGGGAACUUUUUGUCUAUCAGAUUCAAUCAUGUAGAGACGCUCCAAAGCAAGAAGAAUUUGUGUCUACCUACAACUUCAAAGCUCUCCCCCUUAAAGAAAAGAUAGUACACAUGGAGAAGAGAAACUAGCUGAUCUCAAAAGCAAAGGCAAUUCAGUUUGGUGAUGAUGUGGGGUAACUGUAGUUUGCCAAGUCUCUAACACCAUCAAUAAUCGACACAUCUCUGAAGCUCAGUGAUGCAUGGUUCCAAAUUUGCUGGAUAAUGGAUCUGACCCUUCUCCAAUAUACGUUUUUGUUUGCCAAGGAGUUUGGGCAUUUUUGGGGACAAAAACAGCACAUUUCUUGAUGUAAAUGAAGACUUUUUUGCUAUAUUCAAAAGGCAGACUCAGGCGAUGUAGCAAUACCAGUACAUAACAAUGUCUGAAAUUAUCAAGUGUAUUCAAAUAUAUAGCAACUUUAUAACUUAUAUUUUAGAAUCAAUUUCUUCACAUGUAAACCACCAGAUACAAACAAUGUUAAUCACCAUGUCAUCAUGUGAAUAAAAU